CUCAGGGUGGCCUUUUGCUUUUCAGCCUGCAGGGUUUCUGUGUAAGCCCCCAGCUCCUGUUGUUGCUGUUGCUGCUGGAUCUGGGCAGCCCGGACCACAGGCGGCAGCUCAUCCCCCUCCUACUCCCCAGAGUCACCCUCAUGCUUGAGGAAAGAUCACCAGCUUCGCUGUCCUAAAGCAGCGGAGGCUGGCCACGUCUCUUACUGCCUCUCUGUGGUUUGUGCUGGCUCGGCUCUGGGAGUACCUUAGCUGGUGGA